AUGGCCGAGGAUGAGGACAAUGGGCGUUUGUAUACGGGGCUUGACCUUGCUUUUGACAAGGACCAUCGUGCCCGUGCUAUCGAGCGUGGAGAGAAACUUGCUGUCAUCCGCUUUAGGAGCCACACGACGGAAAACCAGAUGCAAUAUGACGUGCGCUACGAGCCGUACUUUGAGCGUGCCGGGCUGCUACCGUUUGUUCUUCAGUUCAAGCGCGUGCCGCCGUCGAUGUGUCAUUCAGCUCUCACCGCCCUCGUCGAUCGUUGGCGGCCGGAGACACACAGUUUCCAUCUCCCUUGUGGCGAGCUAACGAUGACGUUGGAGGACUUUGCCAUGAUCACUGGGCUUCCCAUUGAUGGCAAGGCUCUCACCAGACGAGUGGACGGCAAGAACUGGCGUGCGAGGGUUACCGCUCUCAUCGGUGACUGCUCGGCAUCUCUUAGUGCCCAGGGAAGGACUGACAACAGGACAAACGGCGUCCCAUUCCCUUGGCUCCAGCAUCAUAGGUCGGGAUGCCCUGAAGAAGCCAAUGAGGAGACCGUGGAGCAGUAUGCUCGAGCGUACGUGUGGCACCUCAUAUCACAAGUGGUCUUUGGAGACUGCUCUGGAGACGUUGCUCCUUGGAUGUUUCUUGACUUUUUGGCCGACUGGGACGAGAAGUACAGCUGGGGAUCUGCUGGGCUCGCCUACUUAUACCGUCAGCUCGACCUCACAUGUAGGAAAACCACCUCGAGGCCAUGCAUGGGUGGAUGUAUUUGGGACCUCUCGGUCUGGAUGUGGGAGCGUUUGCCGGUUGGGCGUCCUGAAAAGCAUCCUUCACCGCACGUGUGGGUAGGCCAUAAUGAAGAAGAUGAUGUUUUUCGACUCCCCACCGUGGCAUUCUCUUGGGACCGGGUUUGA
rnacentral:rRNA from 1 species